rnacentral:tRNA from 1 species
GGGGAUUUAGCUCAACAGCAUAAGCACCUGUCUUGCAAGCAGGCGGCAUGAAUUCAAUCCCCG